AUAUGUGUGUGGGCCGCGUGCGUGUGUGUGUGUGUGUAUGUAUGUAUGUAUGUAUGUAUGUAUAUAUAGCUUACUUGCUUAGCUAGGGGAAUGAAGGAGCCAAACUUUACCUCUACUAAUGAAAAUGGUUCCCUUCCUUGUAUUGCUAUUGUUAUCAUCAAAAUUAGUGUUUGCCAAUAUUUCACAAGAUCAAAUACACAAAGAUGCAAGGAAGAUGGUUUUCAAUAUGUCGCCAAUGCAAAUGGAGGUGAUUCUGGCACGGAAACUUGGAAGAAACCCACCUCAUCAUGUGGGAGCACCACCAGGUGACAAACCGUCUGGAUCGUGAAAGUAGCUAUUGUGACAUAUAUCCCUGUUGUACUGGCUAGCAGUGUCACAUCAACAAGCUUAACGGAACGGUGUUUAGUUUGUUAAGUAGUUGGGCGAAUCUCUCCAAGAAGAUUAGUAUCUUUGUUUGUAGUAAAAUUUUCUACAUGUUUAUAAUAGCAUACUUUUAAAUAAGUGUUUAUUAAAAAUUAAAAAUAAAUAAAAAAUAAAUAAAGUGUUUCUUGUA